rnacentral:rRNA from 1 species
UACAGAGGGGGCAAGCGUUGUUCGGAAUUACUGGGCGUAAAGGGCGCGUAGGCGGCCUUCUAAGUCGAACGUGAAAUCCCUGGGCUCAACCCAGGAACUGCGUCCGAUACUGGGAGGCUUGAAUCCGGGAGAGGGAUGUGGAAUUCCAGGUGUAGCGGUGAAAUGCGCAGAUAUCCGGAGGAACACCGGUGGCGGAGGCGGCUUCCUGGACCGACACUGACGCUGAGGCGCGAAAGCUAGGGGAGCAAACGGG